ACGGAGGGUGCAAGCGUUAAUCGGAAUUACUGGGCGUAAAGCGCGCGUAGGUGGUUUGAUAAGCGAGAUGUGAAAGCCCCGGGCUCAACCUGGGAACGGCAUUUCGAACUGUCAGGCUAGAGUAUGGUAGAGGAGUGUGGAAUUUCCUGUGUAGCGGUGAAAUGCGUAGAUAUAGGAAGGAACACCAGUGGCGAAGGCGGCACUCUGGACCAAUACUGACACUGAGGUGCGAAAGCGUGGGGAGCAAACAGG
rnacentral:rRNA from 1 species